rnacentral:lncRNA from 1 species
UUCUUUCCUUUCGUUCCCCUGUCUGGUUGGCAUUGCUGUGAGCAGUGACCUGAGCGCAGGUACAGCUGUCCUUGGUCUCCCACUGAAUUCUGCAAAUGGUCCCUGCCUUCAGCCUUGGGCCUGGCGUGCUCUGUAAUUCUUAGGAACCGAGAUCUAAUUAAAAUGAGACAGCGCUGUCAGGGGACUGCCUAAUUGUCUUUGCCAAAUGACCUUGUGGGGAUCUUGGCUCGGCUCCCAGCACAAAGGUGUUGUCAGCGCAAAAUCCUGUGCGGUUCGGGGGAAUCGGCUAAAGACUUUUGGGAAAUAAUUCCCCAGGCUGGGAAAUAACAAGCUGGGGGAGCUGGUGUGGUGGUUCCUUUCCUGCUGCCCUCGGCUCAGGGGAUGUCAGGGCAUGGGGGCACCCUUGUGAUGGCUUUAAAAGAGAAAUCGUGCUCAGCGGGGAUCAAUCAGGGUGAAUACCAACAGGUGUCUGCGAUGCUUCCCUCUGCUCCCUCUAGUGCUAAAUACAUGCGCUCCCUCACCACGUCAGGGAGGGGGGAAGGUGGUUUGGCCAUUAAAAGCCUCAAAAAGUGUCUGAGACCCCCGUGUGCUGGAUCCAGCCCUGGGAUCACACUCAGUUCCCUGCCAGCAGCCAGGGCUCAGCCUCAUGUCGAUGGGCCCAGCGCUGUAGAGGACCCAGGCAGCAUUGCCCCUUGCCCCCGCAGAGCCCCCUGGCCUUGGGGCAGUUUUGGGGGCAGGAUCUGGCCUGGUCCCUGGGCAGCAGGGAGAGCCGGUCUCCACGAGAGGGAGCGUUUGCAGGGGUUUUCAUCCCAGCUGUAUAUACAGAUACAUGUGUGCUCUCUUCUGGUGUUUUCCCUGCUGAGACCUCACAGGCACCUCAGAAGCCUUCAUCCACACUGAGCGCGAGUGAAACCCCGCGGGGAUGUGGCAGCGGUGGGCUGCGAAGUGUGCCCGUGCCCUUGGUGGAGGUGCCUGUGUUGCAGCAGCUUUCGGAGGUGAGCGGGGUCCCACCGAGACCAGUGCCAGGGGGGUACAAGUCAGCAGGAGCACUCAUGGCUCUCCGCUGUGCUUGUCCUGGAGGGGGAGAGCGAGGUGAGAUCGGGCCCUGCUGUCAGGGCUGGGCUCAGGGCAGGGGCGGCAGCAAGUGGGGGCUGCCCAACCCUGUGGGUGCUGGGCACCUGCUUGUUUUAGGCACGUGGCAUCCCUGAACAGGGGUAUGAGGGGGGUGUGAGACACAGCCAAGAGGCUCUGAUUUCUCUCCACGUGGCCUCCCAAGAUCAAGGAGCCCCUUUGAGCUUCCUCUGCCUCCCCCAGCCACUUUGGAGGAGCAGCUCCGAGCCGGGCUGGGAGAG